rnacentral:rRNA from 1 species
UACAGAGGGUGCAAGCGUUAAUCGGAAUUACUGGGCGUAAAGCGCGCGUAGGUGGUUCGUUAAGUUGGAUGUGAAAUCCCCGGGCUCAACCUGGGAACUGCAUUCAAAACUGUCGAGCUAGAGUAUGGUAGAGGGUGGUGGAAUUUCCUGUGUAGCGGUGAAAUGCGUAGAUAUCUGGAGGAAUACCGGUGGCGAAGGCGGCAUCCUGGACCAUUACUGACGCUGAGGCGCGAAAGCUAGGGGAGCAAACGGG